rnacentral:rRNA from 1 species
ACCUGAUUGAUCUUGUCAGUUGUAUAUGCUUCUCUUAAAGAUUAAACCAUGCAAAUCUAAGUAAAUUGGAUUUUAAAAUAGAAACGGUAGAGAGCUCAUUAAAACAGUUUGAAAGAAUAGGAAUAACUUUGUAAGUCUUCGGAUUUAUAAAACAGGAUAUUCCAUCGAAUUGAUGAAUUAAUACGUUGUAGCAAGAACUCGAAAGAUCGCAAGAUUGAGAGUGAAUUUAUUUAAAAGAGAUUCGGGGUUAGAAUCUCCGUAACUAGGAGUAGUUAUAAAUGAUCAUAUCGAUUAAGGUUAACUUUUUCGAUGUUACCUGUCUCAAACUGAUUUAUCAACUAUGUCUGUCGUACCUUGGACAACAGAGGUAUUUACGGAUAACGAAAGAUUAGAGUUUGAUUUCGGAGAGGUGGCCUGAGACACUGCCACCACUUCUAAGGAAGGCAGCAGGUGCGAAAAUUACUCAAUGACACAUCGUCGAAGUAGUGACGAGAAAUACCAGAAUUGGGCCCGUAUGGGACAGUGUCUGGGAUGAUUACAAUUUAAAAACCUUAAAUAGAAACCAUUAGAGGGCAAGUCUGGUGCCAGCAGCCGCGGUAAUUCCAGCUCUAAGAGUGUAUCUGAAAGUUGUUGCAGUUAAAACGUUCGUAGCUAAUAUUAAUAAAGUUAGCUUUUCAAACGAUCAGAAAUGAAAGGAUGAAAUUUAGACUUUAUAAAGCUGCUAAUAAUUUGCAAGUGUCUUGGAAACUCGAUAACUGCCUGCUAUGCCUUAAAAACAUAGUAGUUUAUUAGCAAGGAUUAACUUUGAAUAAAUUUGGGUGUUCAAAACAAGCUAUAAAGCUUUGAAAACAUUAGCAUGGUAUUACAAAAUACGAUAGUUUCGGCAUUAACUCAAGGCCUCAAAACCUUGUGUCGGACUAUAAUGAAAAAAGAGAGUUGUUGGGGUCACCUUUAUUCUUUGGGGAAGGGUGAAAUCUUAUGAUCCAAAGAAGAAACACUAAGGCGAAAGCACCUAGACCAGGAUGUUUUUGUCAGUCAAGAUCGAAAGUAGAGGGCGCGAAGAUGAUUAGAUACCGUCGUAGUCUCUACAGUAAACUAUGUUGAUUUAGGAUGAUAGAUCAUUUUUUUAUGAUCUCUAUUGAACUAUACGAGAAAUC